rnacentral:lncRNA from 1 species
GUUGGGAUUUCACGGGUCUAGAAUGUUUAGGGGUUGAGAUUUGGUGGUUAUGGUGGUGGUGUCUUGGCAAAGGAGUGACAGUGAGUGAUGCUGGUGUGGUGAUUAAAUAAUAGUGGGCUUGUGGAGGUGGUUAACAUCGAACGUGGUGAAAAGGCCCCCCUUUUCUCUUUCUAUUUUUAUUAUUUAAUGGUGGCGUGUGAGAGGGACGAUAGGAAAAUGUCCAACAUGGAUUUUUUAUAAUUUAUUUUUUUGAAAAUUUUUAAUAUAUUAUGUAAUUCAUAUCAUAUAAAUUUUAUUUUACUUAAAUCAAACGAAAGAAGGG